UUUUGUGAAACCCUAAUUGUAUCUCCUUCUCCUUCUCCUGUACACUUCUUUCUUCUAAUACAAUCUCCUGUACUCUUCUCCCUUCCCAGUCCGUCAUCGAAACCCUCAAGGUAAGUUUGAAAUUAACUUCAACGCGGAUUUUAUUCGCCACCACGACGUUUGAUUUACUAACAUUCAUCUAAUAUCUGAGUAUGUUCAACGCGGAUCUUAUCCUGUUGGCCUUUGUGCUUAGCGAGGCAAGAAUGAAAUUUGUAGGGUUUGAUGAGUCAACAGGCUCUGCUCUUACACAAGGAUUUCAAAUCGACCACUCUUUCCAUUUCUUGGAAUCAUUAAAUGAGGAUGUGAAUACUGAAUACCGAGAAAGGCCUCCAGCGACAUAUUUCCUCGACUACUUUUAUUUCCCGAGGGAACUACAACCAACAGAAGGCUGCUUAUUAAUUUCCAACAUGAUGUGUUUAUUCCCGGUUAUCCUAUUCAACCGGUGGUUGUUCGUUAUCCACAUGUACAUUUUGAUCAAUCCUGGGGUCAUAUAUCUUUGGGGACACUCAUGCUUAGAAUGUUCACACAGUUUCACAAUUUCAUGGAGGUAUGCUUCUUUAGCAGCCUCUUUACGAUUUUAUUCUGUUGACUAUAGAAAAAAGUCAUCACAUUUUAUUAGAGGUAUGAUGUUUUUGGUUGCAAUUGUACUCUCUAAUAUUGUUACAACGAUAUCACUGACAUAUGCACAAGAGGUGCGGACUUCACAGGUAGGGGUGUUUACUGGAUUUUCUUCGGGUUUUGGGUUUUUCGGGUCGGGUAGUUCUGGUUUUUGUCUAGAGAAAACUGACCUGAUAAUCAACCCAUUUAAAAUUCGGGUUAGUAUUGUUUGGAUCGUUCAGGUCGGGUUGUUUGAUUUUGAGUUAUAGAUGUAAAAUGAAAAUAAAUGUUAUUUUUUUUACAAAUAUAAUCAAAAUUCAUAUUGUUACUUUAAAAAUAUUAUCAAAGUUAUUAUGAUAUUUAAAAGUUUCAAAACUUAAUGUUCUAUAUAUUAAAGAGUCCAUACCAAGAUGACAACUUUUGGGCUGUAGGAUCACUUUUAUUUGCAGUUUACGUUUCUGUUGAGUUUCGGUUCACCUUUUUUUGUGACAACGAUUGGUUGUCAUAGUGAUCUAAGAUGAUGACGAAACGAUGAUGUUUGAAGUUGCUAAAGGGGCUACGAGACAAAAUUGGAGAUGACGGGUUCAGAGUCAAGGGACUUCGAGAUAGAAUUGGAGAUGGCGAGUUCCGACCGACUCAGGUAAGUUCCGUGAUUGAAUAUUAAAUAUUAAAUAUUUUUUUUAAUAAAAACUUCUGUAUUUGUUUGUAUAUUUAUUUUUGUUUUCAGUUUUUUAACCUUGUAGUAAUAUAUAUUUACCUUAGUGACUUGCUUGGUUUUAAAAAGCGUGAGGCGCACAAAAGCGACGAGGUCUAAAACUGAGGCGCAAAGCGUAAAAGCGGUGGGCUUUUCGUACCCGAGGCGCAAAGUGAUUAUAUAAUUUUUUAUAUAUAUCAUAUAGGUUUUUAGCAUUUCUUAUCCAAAUUAUAGCUAUAAAUAAGGUUUAUAUAUAAUUUAACCCAUAACUACAAGCUAAAAAACUUAUUGCACAACAGUUUGAUGCUUAACAAACAGCAUAAAAAUACCCUAUGUACAUGAGGCGCGCGCCUCAGGCCUUGGGGCUUUUUGUAAAAAGCGCGCCUCGGGCUACCUAAGGCGCCAAGGCUUUCAUCACAUACUUGGGUAGCAAACAUGGAUGUUGAAUUGGUAUUGGGUUCCAUGGAUACUUUGCAAGCAAGAUGAUGCUUCUGAUCCUAUUUUAAGCCCGAUCCGACACGUUCACAUGGUCGGAUAUUUGGUUUUGGGCAGAAAGUAUUCUUAAUAUGAAUAUAUAUACUUUUUUCGACUUUUCACCCAAGAAGUUAGAAGCCUUACAAGCCCGCAAUUUGGACCAAGGUUUCGACUAACGGGUAGACUUGAACAAAACUGAGAUUAUAUACAUCUUGGCAAUGUAUUUAUAGGUAUUAUGGUCUCUUGCCCCAUUGCUGAGGUGGGGGUGGAUCCUCUAAUGUUCAUUAAGUAUUGAAACUCCAAUUCAAGUAAGGUUUCUAAUUUAUGCAGUACCACAUUGUUAUUUUCCAGAACUUUAAUUUGUUUCAGUUUAAUUUAUGCAGUCCCGCACUACUGUUGAUAUGAAACUGCUCAAGUAACAUAGAAUUUUUGAACUCUUUGAAUUAAUGUUCAGGUUUUUGUUCAUCCAUCUUUUUGAAUAUCUUGCUGACGUCAUCCAGGUUAACAAAUUAAAUGAUGAAAGAAUUUGGAGAAAAUGUUUUCGUGUUUGGUUGUUGAUUCGGCGUUGAGUAUGUAACUACUGUGAACCUUUCUACUCCAAACAAGUCGAAUAAAGAAAACUUAACGGGUUUAAUGGGUUUGCACAAAGUAUUAUUCUAACGCGUAUAAGUAUAUAACUUCUGUUUAAUUAAAAACUUGAAUUAUUUAUCGCAUUAAUUACUGAUGCUAGAAAAUCUGGAUUUUUUUAUAAAAGUUUAUGACUCAGACACUACAUAUUGGCAGGCUCAGGAGAAUUCAAAGAAAGGAUGGGGACGUGGCUGUGGUAAAUCAAAGUCACGCACCCUGACCCACGGUACUUUUGGGCUUCUUGCACCAUCCCGGCAUACAAGCAGGUCAGCACAUUUGGAUGCAUCACCAAUGAGACAUCACUGUUCGGAAGGCCCAAGAAUGCCAGAUGGGACACAGGGUAAUACAAUGGGAAGAAGGAAACCUGUUCUAACAGGUUUACCAUAAGUCUGUGUUUAGAGACUUGAGAAAUCACCAAACGGAUUUUGUAAGCUGGUGUGGAGAAUGCCAAUAGGAGAUGAGAGAACGUGUUUAUCAUGUUGUCACGGCAAAAAAGAAUGGAGUUGUUUAGAGAUUCGAGAAGAAUUUGCUUCUUGAAAAGAUAGUGGAAUCAGUUUGCUAUUGUUUUGUUGCUAGAUCAAUGUACUUUUAGAUUAUUUCUCUAAAAUUUUAAAAGCUUAUUCUUCAAGAUCGUGAUCACGAUGAAUGUGACAAUCACCUCGCGAUCCAGUGACAAUCAGAGGGAUGAAAAUGUUUCCGGUUACCAUCUUUGAUGUAUAAAUUUUUGUUUCAAUGAAUUUAAAGUGGAUGUGUGAAUUAGAAA